rnacentral:lncRNA from 13 species
UCUAUAUCACCGCGUUCAAAUCACUUAUACAAAAUUUUAUUAUUUUUCUCACUGUUUCUUUCCACUUACAAUUAGGCUUAGCUGUUGCUGCUUUUCAUAACCCCGCAGUGCUCGCGCGGCUCGCGCGUAUCUAUGGUUUUAUUUAUCGGAGCAUGCGCAUUGCCGACUGGGCGCAUUCUAUAUCCAUCCUCGUCAAUCUUUUGCGUAUUGUAUCUCCAUCUUUGUCAAUCUUCUCUGCGUCAACUCGAAUGUACAGAGAACAUAGGUCUAUGUUCCUUCCAGUAAUAUAUGUUCUAAGCGUUAACCAAACACAAUUUGUUUUUUCUGUCAAAAUGAGUGAUUCCGAGCAGGAAAACGAGGAAUUGGAACCAGUUUUCACAUGUGGAUUAUGUGAAACUAUUUGUGAUGAUAUUACAUCCAUGCUUGCAUGGGUUCAAAGCUUAUUUUCUAGACAAUAAUUCUUAUUAUUUUUAUCCUCAGUGUGAUGAUGGUACGUUAUGAAAAGAGCAGUUGGUGAAAAGGAAUUAAUCGUAAAUACUGAGGUUAACACUGAGGUAGUCAGUAAUUCCAAAAAUUGUUCCUCAGAUGAAGCGUUUAUCUCAGCGAUAGAGAUUCAUGAACCUUUAUGGAAUAUUAAGUUGCCAACUGCACAAAGGAGCAAAGAAAUAAAAUCUUCCUUAUGGAAGGAAGUGUGUAAAGAAAUGAAUGGAAAAUAUACAAUAGAAUCAGCUAAGAAGAAGUA